rnacentral:rRNA from 1 species
CGCGUAGGCGGUUAUGUAAGUCAGGGGUGAAAUCCCGGGGCUCAACCCUGGAACUGCCUUUGAGACUGCAUAGCUUGAGAGCGGGAGAGGUGAGUGGAAUUCCCAGUGUAGAGGUGAAAUUCGUAGAUAUUGGGAAGAACACCGGUGGCGAAGGCGGCUCACUGGCCCGUUUCUGACGCUGAGGCGCGAAAGCGUGGGGAGCAAACA